rnacentral:rRNA from 1 species
GACGAACGCUGGCGGCGUGCUUAACACAUGCAAGUCGAACGGAAAGGCCCUGCUUUUGUGGGGUGCUCGAGUGGCGAACGGGUGAGUAACACGUGAGUAACCUGCCCUUGACUUUGGGAUAACUUCAGGAAACUGGGGCUAAUACCGGAUAGGAGCUCCUGCUGCAUGGUGGGGGUUGGAAAGUUUCGGCGGUUGGGGAUGGACUCGCGGCUUAUCAGCUUGUUGGUGGGGUAGUGGCUUACCAAGGCUUUGACGGGUAGCCGGCCUGAGAGGGUGACCGGCCACAUUGGGACUGAGAUACUGCCCAGACUCCUACGGGCGGCAGCAGUGGGGAAUAUUGCACAAUGGGCGGAAGCCUGAUGCAGCAACGCCGCGUGCGGGAUGACGGCCUUCGGGUUGUAAACCGCUUUCGCCUGUGACGAAGCGUGAGUGACGGUAAUGGGUAAAGAAGCACCGGCUAACUACGUG